rnacentral:rRNA from 1 species
AUUGAACGCUGGCGGCAUGCUUUACACAUGCAAGUCGAACGGUAACAGGCCGCAAGGUGCUGACGAGUGGCGAACGGGUGAGUAAUGCAUCGGAACGUGCCCAGUCGUGGGGGAUAACGCAGCGAAAGCUGCGCUAAUACCACAUACGAUCUAUGGAUGAAAGCGGGGGACCGUAAGGCCUCGCGCGAUUGGAGCGGCCGAUGUCAGGUUAGGUAGUUGGUGGGGUAAAGGCUCACCAAGACAACGAUCUGUAGCUGGUCUGAGAGGACGACCAGCCACAUUGGUGUUGAGACACGGCCCAGACUCAGACGGGAGGCAGCAGUGGGGAAUUUUGGACAAGGGGCGCAAGCUUGAUCCAGCAAUGCCGCGGGCAGGAAGAAGGCCUUCGGGUUGUAAACUGCUUUUGUACGGAACGAAAAGGCUCUGGAUAAUACCUGGGGCUCAUGACGGUACCGUAAGAAUAAGCACCGGCUAACUACGUGCCAGCAGCCGCCGUAAUAC